UAGGGAAUCUUCCACAAUGGGCGCAAGCCUGAUGGAGCAACACCGCGUGAGUGAAGAAGGGUUUCGGCUCGUAAAGCUCUGUUGUUAAAGAAGAACACGUAUGAGAGUAACUGUUCAUACGUUGACGGUUAUUUAACCAGAAAGUCACGGCUAACUACGUGCCAG
rnacentral:rRNA from 1 species